UCAGCACCGACGAAGCUAACGUGACGGUAGGUGCAGAAGAAGCGCCGGCUAACUACGUGCCAGCAGCCGCGGUAAUACGUAGGGCGCAAGCGUUGUCCGGAAUUAUUGGGCGUAAAGAGCUCGUAGGCGGUUUGUCGCGUCUGUCGUGAAAGCCCACGGCUUAACUGUGGGUCUGCGGUGGAUACGGGCAGACUAGAGGCAGGUAGGGGAGAACGGAAUUCCCGGUGUAGCGGUGAAAUGCGCAGAUAUCGGGAGGAACACCGGUGGCGAAGGCGGUUCUCUGGGCCUGUUCUGACGCUGAGGAGCGAAAGCGUGGGGAGCGAACAGGAUUAGAUACCCUGGUAGUCCACGCCGUAAACGUUGGGCGCUAGGUGUGGGGUUCUUCCACGGAUUCCGCGCCGCAGCUAACGCAUUAAGCGCCCCGCCUGGGGAGUACGGCCGCAAGGCUAAAACUCAAAGGAAUUGACGGGGGCCCGCACAAGCGGCGGAGCAUGUUGCUUAAUUCGACGCAACGCGAAGAACCUUACCAAGGUUUGACAUCACUCGAAAACUCGCAGAGAUGCGGGGUCCUUUUGGGGCGGGUGACAGGUGGUGCAUGGCUGUCGUCAGCUCGUGUCGUG
rnacentral:rRNA from 1 species